rnacentral:tRNA from 1 species
GGAGCAGUGCGUGGCCGAAUGGUUACGCUGUCCACUUUGUAAGCGGAUGAUUCUGGGUUCGAUUCCCAUCUGCUCCA